GCGGGUGUGGUGAAAUUGGUAGACACGCCAGACUUAGGAUCUGGUGCUGCGAAGCAUGGGGGUUCGAGUCCCUCCACCCGCA
rnacentral:tRNA from 1 species